AGAAAACCAAUUUCGUUUUUGAAUUUCAAGAAUUUCAAGCAGAUUUUCAUCUAUAUUACGCAAAAGCAGAUUCGUUCAAAUAAUUCCAGGAACAGGUAUAGUAAGGCUAAGUUCUUCCUUUAUUUUGGAAUGAUCUCGUCAUUAUACAAGUUUGAUAACGAGGCAUAAAGAAAAAUUCAUAUCCCGAAAUUUAUGUAUAUUAUACGUGUAGUGUUGCGGUCCAUUUCUCGUGACUAUGUGUAUGCUUAACUUUAGGCCAAUUCAAGAUAAGGUCUGGUGAAACCAAAAUGGAAAACCCAUGAAAAGGCAAUUAGUUAUUUUUCAAUUGUUCGUUUACUGCCUAAUAUUAGCUGAUGUUUUUAAGUGAUAAUGAGAGAUUUGAGAGUAAUGCUAAUGCUUAUCUUGGAUUUUUGUCUGAAAGGUAGUGAUAAACCUUUUUGUUAUUUCUGUUUACUUUAUUUAUUACUUUAUAAUAUCCGGAAAUUCUAGUUCAGCAUUUACUUUUGUAUUUUUAAAAUCUUUAAUAUUGACGAAGUUAUGUUUUCAACGGAGGUGAAUUAGAUUAGCUUUCUAAGUUUUUUGCGUAUAUUUUCCUAGUUUUGUAAGUUAUAAUAUUCUCCUUAUCGGGACUUCAUAUUCAGUUGAGUAUUUCCUUCUUCUAGUCAACAAAGCAGAGAAUUUACAUAUAUAUAAUAUUAAAAGUAUUUUCAUUACCAUCGAGCUAUAAUCGAUGGGCAGGCCCCUAUUGGGCAACCUUUGAUCAGAUGGUAAGUUCUAUACCAAGCCUGUUGUGGCCGAGCGCCUAUGAAUGAGCCCAGUUGGUCGAGAUACAAAGCCUAGUAUGGCCGAGCACUUAUGAGCGAGCUUACUAUGGCAGAGCAGAUGUAUAUGUAUACCGAGCCUUAUAGGGCCGGGCAACUAUUUUACUCAUUAUAUUGAGAGAGUUGAGUCAGUAUCAACUGAUAAGCAUCUCCUCAGAUUAUCUUUGAUCCCCAGUUGCUUUCAGUUAUUAUAUCAUCAGUUCUGUUUCAGCUUUCAGUAUAUUACCUUACAUACUCGGUAUAUUAUUUCGUACUAACAUCCCUUUCUGGGGGCGCUGUAUUUCAUGCGUGCAGGUUCAGACAGACAGACGGGCAGACAUUAUCAGUAGGUGUUGCCCGAGUUCAGCUUUAUCUAUAAUCUCCCCUCUUUUCAGAGUUGCCGGGUCUAGUAGUGUGGUAUACAUCUGUGUAUAUAUGUAGAUAGGUUAUGGGUAGGUCGGGGCCUUGUACCGAUCACAGUACAUCUAUUUGUAGAGGCUUGUAGAUAUAUCCUGUCAGUUAGUGUAGUAUGUUGGGCCUGUAGGACAUGUAUGUAUAUUUUGUUAGCUUGUCAGUUGUAGUAAUUAUGACGUCCUUGUCGGCCCAGCCUUAUGUUGACAUUUAGUCAGCGUUAGUCACUAUUCAGUUUUUUUAUAUUUU
rnacentral:lncRNA from 1 species